AAUAGAUACCCGGGUAGUCCACGCCGUAAACGAUGAGUGCUAAGUGUUGGAGGGUUUCCGCCCUUCAGUGCUGCAGCUAACGCAUUAAGCACUCCGCCUGGGGAGUACGGUCGCAAGACUGAAACUCAAAGGGAAUUGACGGGGGCCCGCACAAGCGGUGGAGCAUGUGGUUUAAUUCGAAGCAACGCGAAGAACCUUACCAGGUCUUGACAUCUCCUGACCGCCCUGGAGACAGGGUCUUCCCUUCGGGGACAGGAUGACAGGUGGUGCAUGGUUGUCGUCAGCUCGUGUCGUGAGAUGUUGGGUUAAGUCCCGCAACGAGCGCAACCCUUGGUUCUAGUUGCCAGCAUUCAGUUGGGGCACUCUAGAGCGACUGCCGGCGACAAGUCGGAGGAAGGUGGGGAUGACGUCAAAUCAUCAUGCCCCUUAUGACCUGGGCUACACACGUGCUACAAUGGAUGGUACAAAGGGCAGCGAAGCGGCGACGCAUGAGCGAAUCCCAGAAAACCAUUCUCAGUUCGGAUUG
rnacentral:rRNA from 1 species